GAUGAGUUUAUUGUAAAUGAUUCCUUUCUUUGAUAUGUUUAUCAGAUCUAAUUCACCGUUCCGGGCUUCACAUUGUCAAUCUAACAAAGUACUGCUGUUGAAUUUUGAAGUAAACUUAGAGAAUUUCACAUUAUUAUGGCCCUUUUUGUCACGACUUUGAUCCUGUGGGCAUAAUUGUAUUCUUUGUUAACAAGGACAGAUUUUCGCAGACUCUUGUGCUACUAAUUUUGUGGUUCUUGGGAGGAUCUGACACCAUUUUAGCUUAUGAGUUUCAAUGUAGCUGGGAGAUUGACUACGAUCAAAGCUCAAAGACUGUUAAAAUAUUUUUGAAAGACUGCAGCCUUGGCAGUGUUGGUGCCUUAGGCAGGGUUAUUCAAUCGCGGUAUAGGUUCCUGCCUUGAAAUUCAGCAUCAUGAUUAUGUCUGGAGAAUGAGAUCAAUUUAUGAACUAGUAUUAUUGUUGCCACAUUGGCUUUUCUUUGACUGACUUCAUCUUAUUUGAUACGUUAUAUUUCAUUUGUUAGAUUAUAAUAAUAUUUUUAUGUUUCCUUUUAUAUUUCUUAGGCUUUUGCAUUUAUUGUUAUGGGGUUGUCUUGACAUCUAGGCACCUGUUGGGCCUAGAAGGCCCCUUGGUCACCUAUCUAUUUUGCCUAUAGUCUUCUAGAAAAGUUUAAUCUUGGAGGAACUCUAUCCAAAAUAUCCUUUCUGAUGCCCAUCAUACUUCAAUCUUACAGAGCGAGAGUUCUUUUCAAUUGUAUAUAUUGGUUUUAUGCACAAAGGAGGUUGUGCAUUCAAUGUGAUACUCUAUAGAUGUACUAUAUGUAUGAUUUUAAGACUUAUCUGAGGCAACUUGUCAAGACCUGAGCCUAUGCCUCAGUUGGCCAGUACCACCACAACCACUCAAAGACAAGAAGAUAGAUGUUCAGAUGAAGCCAUCUAAUCGUUAAC